rnacentral:rRNA from 1 species
CAGUAGCCGCGGGAAUACGAAGGUCCCGAGCGUUGUUCGGAAUCACUGGGCGUAAAGGGAGCGUAGGCGGCGUGGUAAGUCAGAUGUGAAAUCCCGGGGCUCAACCCCGGAACUGCAUCCGAUACUGCCAUGCUAGAGGAUUGGAGAGGUAGCUGGAGUUCUUGGUGUAGCAGUGAAAUGCGUGGAGAUCAAGAGGAACACUCGUGGCGAAAGCGAGCUACUGGACAAUAACUGACGCUGAGGCUCGAGGGCCAGAGUAGCGAAAGGGAUUAGAUACCCCUGUAGUCCCUGUCUCUUAAAC